rnacentral:rRNA from 1 species
UACGAAGGGUGCAAGCGUUAAUCGGAAUUACUGGGCGUAAAGCGCACGUAGGCGGCUUGGUAAGUUAGAGGUGAAAGCCUGGAGCUCAACUCCAGAAUUGCCUUUAAGACUGCCGAGCUAGCAGGUGAGAGAGGUGAGUGGAAUUCCGAGUGUAGAGGUGAAAUUCGUAGAUAUUCGGAAGAACACCAGUGGCGAAGGCGGCUCACUGGCUCAUACUGGACGCUGAGGUGCGAAAGCGUGGGGAGCAAACAGG